AUGUAUUUAUUAUCGUUGUGUGAAUGAAUAAACUGGUUAUACAGGUUUUUGAAGGUGAUACAUGUCCAAUGGUGCGGAAAUCAAGAUUUCCUCGUGCACAGAUUUGUAGGUUUAGUCAUUCGACAGGCAAGCAGGGUAGAGCGAAGACUUGAUUUAAAUCGUUUUAUUUAUUUUCUCAACCACAUUUAAUUGUGAAAUUUGAUUUAUUUUUGUGUCGUAUUGGAGUUGGCAAUUUAUUAAUAUGGACAGUCAGGAUGAGAGGAGAGAUCGCUUCGCCGGCGGGGACAGGGCUGGCACAGUAAAUGGACACACGUAGCGACCACGUGGUAGCGGUCAAGAAGGUAGGCCCUCGGGGAUAGAGGAGAAUUGAUUGACGUGUUUGGUUUACAUAUAAUAAUACGCACAUUGUAAAGAAAAGUAUCAUUUCUUACGUUUUUCUCUUGUAAAAUGUAGUUUAAAGAGAGGCAUGUCCUUUUUUUUUCGGAAAAUCAUUGGUGCCAAUCCUGAUAACUGUAUUGUCGGCGCUUACACAUUACCAUUCUUACAAUUACCUGAAAAAUGUGUAUCUGGAAAUAACCAAUCAGCUUUAAAGCAGAUAGAUUAGCAGAUGUUAACGAGUCGGUGCAGGAUAUGUAAAAUAAUGGCUGUAUUGAAGAAUUAAAAGACAUCCCUCAUGUUGUUAGUCAAUCAAGUGUAGCCGUGAAUGAAGCCGGAAGCUGGAUUUGUGAUCAAUGAGGACAAGUCAAUACUAGAAAUGGCGCGGCAGAGGCCGACGCGUAUCCCCACGCCGAAUGUUUGACCUAGGUGUGCCCCAGGGUUGGUAAUGGGGCCAUGCAUAGCUGAGAUUGACCGUAUUGUCAUAAGAGAAGUUCAUCAUCAAUUAGAAGUGAAUUGGUGUAGAAAUGAAGAAGUUAUAGUAAAAGGCAAUUUUGGGUGGGUGUGACAUAUGUGGGCAGGGCGCCCCAGGGUUGGUAAUUGUGCCAUGCAUAGUUGAGAUUGACCGUAUUGUCAUAAGAGAAGUUCAGUAUCAAUUUGAAGUGAAUCGGUGUAGAAAUGAAGAAAUUAUAGUAAAAGGCAAUUUUGGGCGGGUGUGGUCUAUGUGGGCGGGGCCCCAGGGUUGGUAAUGGGGCCAUGCAUAGUUGAGAUUGACCGUAUUGUCAUAAGAGAGGUUCAGUAUCAAUUUGAAGUGAAUCGGUGUAGAAAUGAAGAAAUUAUAGUAAAAGGCAAUUUUGGGUGGGUGUGGUCUAUGUGGGCGGGGCGCCCUAGGGUUGGUAAUGGGGCCAUGCAUAGUUGAGAUUGACUGUAUUGUCAUAAGAGAAGUUCAAUAUCAAUUUGAAGUGAAUCGGUGUAGAAAUGAAGAAAUUAUAGUAAAGGCAAUUUUGGGUGGGUGUGGUCUAUGUGGGCGGGGCCCCAGGGUUGGUUAUGGGGCCAUGCAUAGUUGAGGUUGACCCUAAUGUCAUAAGAGAAGUUCAGUAUCAAUUUGAAGUGAAUCCGUGUAGAAAUGAAAAAAUUAUAGUAAAUGGAAUUUUUUGGUGGGUGUGGCCUAUGUGGGCGGGCGCCCCAGGGUUGGGAUUGGGGCCAUGCAUAGUUGAGAUUGACCCUAAUGCCAUAACAAAAGUUCAGUAUCAAUUUGAAGUGAAUCCGUGUAGAAAUGAAAAAAUUAUAGUAAAUGGAAAUUUUUGGUGGGUGUGGCCUAUGUGGGCGGGGCGCCCCAGGGUUGGGAAUGGGGCCAUGCAUGGUUGAGAUUGACCGUAUUGUCAUAAGAGAGGUCCAGUAUCAAUUUGAAGUGAAUCGGUGUAGAAAUAAAGAAGUAAAUGUAAAAUAACCUAAAAAAAUGAGUGAUAAUUUCUGACGCGGCCCCACCCCAACCGCUAUAACUUUUGACCCAGGGGUAAGAUCAAAAUUCCAAAUAGUGCAGGGUCGCACAUAUGCUCAUAGCUACCAUGUGUGUAAGUUUCAAGGUUCUAGUGCUUUUAGUGUAGGAGGAGAUAGUGGCCAGGACGGACGGACAGACAGACAGACAGACAGACAGACAGACGGACGGACGGACGGACGGACGGACGGACGGACGGACGGACGGACGGACGGCGGAGAUAACCACAAUAUCCCCACCUUUUUUCAAAAAGCGUGGGGAUAAUAAGUACCAGUUCAGAGGCUAGAAUGGGUAGGAUUAGUCUGGGAUAGCCAAAUGUUUUCUUUUGAAAUUCCCGAUAGAAGAAUAACUGAUUUUAAAAAUACUCUUUUAAAGGUAUUUUCUUCCAUGCCAAUGGUUUCGGCAAUGGAUUUAGCUAGAUGUACGGGGAAAAUUGUUUCAGUGAUGCCUGUUAUAGGUAGUCUGGCAAGGUAAAUGGCUAGAUAUCUUUAUUCUGAAAUCGUUUGUAGACCGUCAUUGCAUAGAGUUAUAGCCCUUGAACCAGAUAGCUUAUUUAUUUCCGAAUUUAUAUUUUGGUUAGGUCGCAUAGAUGGCAUACAAACAAGACAUUUUAGUAAAACUACAUGUGUCGAAGUUUUAAAAGUUUACAGUGAUGCAAGUGGGUUUGCUGGUGGGGCUUAUAUUGUUGAUAUGUCAGGUUUCAUUUUUCACGAUAUAUGGUCAAAUGACGAUCGCAAUACAAGUUCUACUUAUAGAAUAAUUAAUGGAGUAGUUCUAGUUUUACGUGCCUAUGGGAAUUUUUUAAGGGGGGGGGGGGGGCUGUUAAGAGGUUUUCUGACUCUGAAUCACGUGUAAAGUUGGUAAAGGUAGGAAGUUCUAAACUUGAGUAACAUGAUCUAGCACUAAGCAUUUUUAGUAUGUGUUUGAAGAUGAAUAUAGGACUAGAAAUACAAUGGGUUCCAAGAUAAUUAAACUCCAUUGCCGACAGUAUAAGUAAAAUGAGCAAUACAGAUGAAUGGUAAAUCUCACGAGAUUUCUUUGAGUAUUUAAAUGGUAGCUCGGGUCCGUUUUUGAUUGAUCGCUUGGCUACUUUUAAAAAUAGAAAUACUUAAAGAUAUAAUUCAAAAUUCUUUGAUUUUGAAACGGAAGCAGAUUGCUUUACACAGUUUUGGGGUGCCGAUUUGAAUUGGUUGAUGCCCCUAUUUAUCUCGUAGGAAAAACAAUUUUGCACUUUCUAGAAUGCAACGCAUAUGGCGUUUUGGUGGUACACAGAUGGCCUAGUGCAGCAUUUUGGUCAUUCUUAUUUGAGGCUGGUAAUGUACAAAUGCACUUUGAGAAGGAUAUUAAUAUGUGUUUGACAAAGGGCAAACUAUUUGUAUGAGUAAUAACCACUCUGUUUCAGUUCAAGACCGUUUUCAAGAAAUGAUCUUGCUAUUCGAAUUUAACUAUACUAUAUGUCGUUUAUAUGUGAAUCGGUGAUAUUAAUGGUUUGACUGUUUUGCUAUACUUAUGGUAUAGUUGGGAUUUUUCACGUGUUUAUAUGAGUAGACAUGAUUCAAUGGAUGUUGUUUUUGUAUAGCCAUUAAGUAUGUAUAGAAACCAUGUUGGUGUAUGUCCGUUUGCACCUGGUGCUUACGAAGUCGUGUACAGUACACGAGGAUUGGAAUAUUUGCAAAAAAGAAAGCAAAAACAGUACUUGCAAAAAAGAAAGCAAGGGUUAAAAAUAAUAGUUUUAAAAGUAUAAUACUUGCAAAAAAGAUAGCAAGGGUAAUAUUUAUUUCAAAUUGGAAAAUACUUGCAAAAAAGAAAGCAAGGGAAACAGUUUUGUUGCAGAAAGUCAAUUUAAAAUGUUGGUGUGUGUGUUUCGUGUCUGUCUGCCUCUGGGGAAGACGCGAUUGUGUGUGGCAUUUCGUGGGCUCAUGGGGUUGUGGGAUCGUGUGGUCGUUGUAAUUCUGGUCUGGUUGUGUUUUCUGAUGAUGGAUUGAAAAGGGCCAAUUCCGGGCCGCUGGUUCGGAGGUGCUUAGUGACUAAAGCGGAUGUGUAGAGGCUUUGAUUCUUUGAUUUGAGAUUUGUAACGGUGUGUUUGGUGCGUUUUUUGGGGGGUUUGGCGGUUUGGGGACUUUGAAUUGAAAGGAUGCGAUACAAGAUUUUUUGAGGAUUGUGCUAUAAUUAUUAUUUUCAAUAGUAAAAUGGUUCAAUUGUGCAAGGGCGAACAGGUUUUGACAUUUUGUAAAACAAAUGCAGUUUUAUGCCCUGUCUUCUACUUGAAAAAAUGUAUCUUGGUAGAAACUAUUCUAGAUAUUGCAAUAUAUGUUUUGUUCAGAAACAUAACAAAUUGUAAGAAAAUGAAUAAAUACAUUUUAGUUGGCUUAAAGCAGAUGAGUUACAGUAGACAAUUAGAUAUUUUGCACCACAUCUUUCGUGAAAUUUAACUUAAACCUAAUGUUCACGGGUUGCAUUCAUUUCGUUCAGGGGAAGCAACUGCUGUUGCAAAUAGCGGUGUAUCUGAUAGUGUUAAAAAAGCAUGGGCAGUGGAAGACUGUUGGCGCUUAGGAUCGCUGCGUGAGAGAUUAGGAUGAAACACAAACAAUUGUUUCUUCUCGUUUGGAUUUGUUAAAUAUAUAUGGUACUUGGUGUUGUAUGUUGUUAGUUGUGCGUUGUUUUUUUGCCCCGUUCUUUUUCUGUCGAUAAAAUACCCUGCUUGUCAUGACACCUAAACAAAUGUGUUUGUUUUUAUUCUAAAUGGUUAGAUGAUAAAUAAUUUAUGUUUGUCAUAAAAUGUAAUGGAAUAUAAAACAUAAAUGUAUUUAUUAUCGUUGUGUGAAUGAAUAAACUGGUUAUACAGGUUUUUGAAGGUGAUACAUGUCCAAUGGUGCGGAAAUCAAGAUUUCCUCGUGCACAGAUUUGUAGGUUUAGUCAUUCGACAGGAAGCAGGGUAGAGCGAAGACUUGAUUUAAAUCGUUUUAUUUAUUUAUGCUCUGUUUGUGUGCUGAUGUUAAUAUUAUGUUUUAUGUGUUUCAGUGAGUUUUAUGAGAGCAGAUGGAUGACUGACUUGAGAUAGAAAGGGGCAUUGGUUCCGAAAAUUUUACCAUGGGAUUUACAAAGUUUUCUAAAAAGAAUACUUAACGUUUACGAUAUAGUAACAGCUGAUUAUUUGUAGAUUUCUCUAAAAUUAGAGGUUUCAGGAGGUGAUGAAGGCGCCUACACACCGGUCUUGAGCCAUGGGUCCUCAUACGUCCCCCUGCCAUUAAAAGAAAAAUGAGCAGUAGGGUUGCGUAUCCCGCUCGCGGUUUCACCUGAAUCGUUCGUUACCACCGAUUAUUGUUUGGGGUGUACGUCAAGUCAUGUGCACUUCUCUUAAUUGAUGGUAAUGAAUAAAUCUUGUAAUUAUCGCAGCUGCUUUUAUCAAAACUAAUGCUUAACUUUAUAUACUUUUCGCACAGAGGCGUUGUGGAUGGGCAUAGGGGGCGUCCUCGGUGCGUUUUGGGCAUCGGCGGCGGACGGGCGGUUGUUAGGGCCGUGGCGUCCUUGGUUGGGCUUGUGAUUUUGAAUUGUGUAGUUAAAUUGUGAAAUUGUAUGCUUUUGAGUUUAGGCUUGACGUCUGAUGGGUAUUAAUAACAUUCAAUUAUUCACAUGUAACGCAUGAGCAUGUUUAAUGAUACGUAUAACGACGUGUUCUACAGAAUUGAUUUAGUAUCGUUUCAGUUCUUAAAUAUAUGAGAAGGAUGUCGCAACGUUUACUGACGUCUCGAGACUCUUCAACUGAGCGGUGCCAUUGGGGUCGAUAUCUGUUGCUCAUUGAACGAAUACGAUCGUCAGAAGAUAUGUUUCUUGCAUUUAUGUGUAGAAAGCCCUGUCAGAUACAAACACCCACUCCAUGCGUGUGUUUCAAGAAAUAAAAUACCCUGCUUGUCAUGACACCUAAACAAAUGUGUUUGUUUUUAUUCUAAAUGGUUAGAUGAUAAAUAAUUUUUGUUUGUCAUAAAAUGUAAUGGAAUAUAAAACAUAAAUAUUUCUAUUCUCGUUAGGUGCAGUGCGCAGCCCAACAGGAUUUGUUGAGCUGCUCCUACUGGAUGACUUCCUCAACUUUGCUGACGAUAUUCGUCCAUUCGACGAUGAUGAAACAGUAAAUGAAACAUCAAAAGACAGCAGUGCAGAUCAAGUUCUUAGUGUGCCUGUUCCUGUGAAUAAUAAGGAAAUUAAACCAAGCAGGAAUCCAGCUAUUGGUAAAAGGAAAGAGUAGAACCUGAGGGAACUGCAGAUGGCAUAUUAUGCUGGAGCCAUUGCAGUUCAACAGGAAAAGUUGCUACUUAUGAAAUCUCAGAGAAAGUUUUUUGAGGAGGGAAAGCUCAUGCUGGCAUUUGCCAAAGACAAACUGUAAAAGAAUGUCAUAAAACAACAUUUUUUAUCAUUUUGAAAAAAAAAAAUCUAAAAAUGAUAAUAAAUGAUACAAAUUACAUUUGUAGCCGGGGUUUGUGUUAACAACACAAGGGGUUUUAAGUUCCAAGUUUUUAAUAUAUGUGAAUGAUGGUCAGUGAUCAAGACUUAGUGUAGAAAGUGGCAAUUGAAAAUAGCCAACUACAACAUCUACCUCUUGCAAGGUUUUACAAACAAGUGACUUAACAUUUAGUUACUAUUUAAAAUUAUUUGGAUGAACAUAAAAUCAUCUCACAAUAAACACAAAAAUGUAAAUAAAGUAAGUUAUUCUUACUAAUUUACACCUUUGCCUAUACCAGCAAAUUUAAAUUACUGCAGUACAUUAUCCACCAGAGUAGACACUCAGUAGUAGACAGUGUUUACAAGGUGCGUGAGAAAAUUCCUGACCUAUAUUUAAAUACAUCUGUUCAAU